CCUGCUCGAUGGGACAUUGGACAGGAAAGACAGAGAAGCUGGAGCCGCGCUCGUUACUCUACUGCUCUGCGCGUGCACGUCACCACGCCCACACGACCGGCUCGACCAAUCAGAGGGAGGGACGUCUGCGUCGUGCCCACGCUUCGCCUACAUAGACAGGAGAGACAAAGAACAACAUAAGACGACUUGCAGCCAUCGUCUGGAGGACACUGAACUACACAUCUGUAGCAUGGACAGGCAGAGAUCUGAACAAUCUUCUGAAUGAAGAGACUUCUCUGCACAGAUCCUGAUGAGCUGACGAGGAGCCAACACACAUCAAACAUAACCCACAAAAUAAAUAUGGAAUUCACGGAAGUUCUCAGCAUUCACGACGGAUCUUCCAAAGUUUUCAUUUGUACUUUUUUGGACCAAAUAUUAAUGUUGUAGUUGUAAACACUAAAUCAGAUCUACUUUGGUGAA